rnacentral:rRNA from 1 species
UCAGUAACACGUAGUCAACAUGCCCAGGGGACGUGGAUAACCUCGGGAAACUGAGGAUAACCGCGAUAAAGUCACUACUUCUGGAAUGGGUAUGACUCAAUCUAUAUGGCCCCUGGAUUGGACUGCGGCCGAUCAGGCUGUUGGUGAGGUAAUGGCCCACCAAACCUGUAACCGGUACGGGCUCUGAGAGGAAGGAGCCGGAGAUGGGCACUGAGACAAGGGCCCAGGCCCCUAUGGGGCGCAGCAGGCGCAAAACCUCUGCAAUAGGCGAAAGCUUGACAGGGUUACUCUGAGUGAUUUCCGUUAAGGAGAUCUUUUGGACCUCUCAAAAAUGGUGCAGAAUAAGGGGUGGGCAAGUCUGGUGCCA